AUUUUGGGCGCCCUUUGAAGUUCAAGCUCAAGGGAUUCAGGUAAGUAUAAUAUUUGAUUGAGGUUUCUUUCUCUAAAUCUCAUGUGUACUUUGUAGAUUUCUGACAACUUUAUGUUAAAAUUUUGAUUUGACUAAAGGUCUCUGUAGUUUUGUGCAUCUCACAUCCUAUUUGUAAAUGGGGUUGCAUUCUUUCUUCCUUUUUCAUUUUCUUUGCAUACUCCUGGGUCUUUAAAUUUGAGGCUUUACAGGGGUUUAUCUGAUCUAUAAAAUUCUCUCUCUAACCUUACAAAGGUCUCUCUAAUAUAGGUCUUUCAAGGGAAAUAUGUUUGUCUCUGUUCAAUAACCGUUCUCUUUUUACUUUAGAUCUUUGCAAGAAUAGGUUAUUUUGGCUUGCUCACUAGUCACAUGCCAUGGGCUUUAAGAAAGGAGAGUCCAUGUUGUGUCACGAGCUUGUUCUCUCAAAAAAAAUAAAAAAUAAAUAAAUAAAUAAACCCCAAACAUGCAUAUAUGUGAUUUGGUUUUUUGUUUUUUUUAUUUUAAUCCAAAAAAACUCCUAAACCUGCAACUGACUGUUUGGCAUGUUUGAUUUUUUAACUAAAAAAAGACCCUAACUUUGCAAAUUACUAAUUUUGGUGGGGGUUUUGUGCUAAAACAACCUACGCCUGUAAAUGGGUGACUAACCAGUGACUUAUUUGUGGUUUUCAUUGGUCUUUUAGCUCAUAAAAAUCAAUUUUAGUUGUGUAAACCUCAUUCAGAAGAAUCUGUUGCUCAUUACUUUUCUGGUCACAUUUGAAAUGAUUUUUUUUAUUUUCAAUGAGUUGGAAUUAUGAGAAUUCACUUACAGUGACUCUGCUUUUCUAGUAUACUACUUCUAUGGAUUCAUUCAUUACCCUCAAAUCCAAUUGAGUAUAGUCAGAAAGAAGAUACGAAUCUUAAUGUUUCGUUUCAUUCUCCUCCUUUUUGUCUCUAUCAUUAGCAAAUGAUUCUCUUAUUAAUCAUACAAAGAAUAAACGCUGCAUAAAUACAUAGAGGAAGUGCCUUUGUGGUUUGCAUAUUGAAUGUCGGUUUCUUAUUAAACUCAAUAAUUUCUCAUACACAGAUGAGUGAAACUUCAUUCUUCCCUUUUUUUCUUUUUAAUUUAAGAUUGUAGCAACCCCAAAUAAAAUGCAUAAAUUAUGUAUCGUUUGCUGUGUAUGGGUCUCUGUCUCAAACUUUUAGUAUUUUAUUGUUCCUUUUUUUGAUUUGCAGCUUGACUCACAAUGACAGCUACAGUUCAGAUCAAAUGGAACUACAUUCUCAACUCAGAUACAGUACGUUUGUAUCCCUCUAUUUUUGCAUAUGUGGGAAGGCAGCCAGCUCUAUCCACACCCUGUCAAUAUAAAAAAUGCUAUCAUUUUGGAAGUCUAAUAGCUAGCUGGUUUUCCAGCUUUGUGUUUCCAAGAGCUCAUAACUAGUUGCAUAGUGGGUGAAUCAAAUGUACAUUCUAUUUUAUGUAGGGAC
rnacentral:lncRNA from 1 species